GACGAACGCUGGCGGCGUGCUUAACACAUGCAAGUCGAACGCUGAAGCACAGCUUUUGUUGGGUGGCUGAGUGGCGAACGGGUGCGUAACACGUGAGUAACCUGCCUUCUUCUUUGGGAUAACGCCAGGAAACGGGUGCUAAUACUGGAUAUUCACUGGUCUUCGCAUGGGGGUUGGUGGAAAGGGGUUUUCUGGUGGGUGAUGGGCCCGCGGCCUAUCAGCUUGGUGGGGGGGUGAUGGGCUACCAAAGCUUUGACGGGUAGGCGGGCUGAGAGGGUGACCGGGCACAUAGGGACGGACAUACGUCCUAGGCUCCUACGCGAGGCGGCAGUGGGGACUAUUGCCGAAUGGCCGCAAGCCUGAUGCAGCGUCGCCGCAUGAGGGAUGGAGGCCUUAGGGUUGUUUUCCUCUGUCGCUCAUGCUCAAGCCGAAACAAUCGUUGUUGUGAGGGUAGUGGGUAAAGAAGCACCGGCUAACUACGUG
rnacentral:rRNA from 1 species